rnacentral:rRNA from 1 species
AUACAGAGGGUGCGAGCGUUAAUCGGAAUUACUGGGCGUAAAGCGCGCGUAGGCGGCUUGUUAAGUCGAAUGUGAAAGCCCCGGGCUCAACCUGGGAAUUGCAUCCGAUACUGGCAAGCUAGAGUAUGAUAGAGGGUAGUGGAAUUCCAGGUGUAGCGGUGAAAUGCGUAGAUAUCUGGAGGAACAUCAGUGGCGAAGGCGACUGCCUGGAUCAAUACUGACGCUGAGGUGCGAAAGCGUGGGGAGCAAACAGGAUUAGAAACCCCGGUAGUCC